CAAUUGCAUGUCCCUCAGUAGGCAUGCAACUGCAUAUCUUUUAACUUGGUUGCAAUUGGGGGACCUUUGUUUUGUCGGAGGGGGCAACAAUGAUAGAGAGGUGACCAGCUGCAUGUCCAACUAUACUCAUGCAACCACGUGUCUUUCUAGCAUGGUCAUACUUAGUGUCUUCUAACUUAGUUUCAACUAGGGGCCUUUGUUUUGUCGGAGGGGUGGCGGUAAGAGAGAGGGGGCAACUAUUCAUGCAACUAGAUGAUGCCCCGCACGUUGUUGUGGGAAUGUUUGCAAUAUUUCAACGAGAUUUUGAUUAUAUGGAACAUGAAUUCUUGAAACAAUAGUUUUUGAAAGUAUAUAAGAAUUAAAUGUAAAUAGCAUAAUAAAAUGAAAUUACAUGCAUGCAUGUUGUAGUGGGUUUUUAAUAUGAAUAGUUGCAUGUUGAGGUGGGCCUUUCCUUAUGCAUGUUGAAUGAUGAGGUGGCAUGCUUGCAUGUUGAGAGAAAUAUGUUAGUGGGGGCUAGCUAUUUAGAUAUAAAAGAUAAAAGAUUUGCAAGGGCGGUCCCCCGGACUAUAACUAUGUCUCUUUACAUACAUUUUCGCAACUAGAUUUUUUUUGCUUGGUCGGAAGGUGGCAGCUCCCCCGCGAAUCCUCUACCCUCGCUAUGUGUCACACGAGCACCAUAACACCGCCGUUUUUUGCCAUGCCUGCAAACACAAAUCAAGCACCCGAUCUCACAACUAGUUUGUGUGUUUUUAUCUUUUUUUUAAUCAUAUACAUUUUUGCAUUUUUUGUUUUUCCCAAGGAUUUAAUAAAAAAAUCAAAUUUGUUUUUUGCAUUUGAUUCUGACAGCGCAGCUCAUUUUCAAAAAAGGGGAGCAUAUUAAAGGAGAGAAGAGUUACUUGUCCAGAUUCUCGGGCACAGCAGCUGCGCCGGUGGUGCUGCCCGACGAAAAGGGGGCAGGGGAAGCGCGGCCGUCUUCUCCAUCGUCCUCCGGCGCCGCCCCGGUCAGCGAGAUGGGGAACUUGCACAUACAUGUUGUGCAAAUGCACUUGAAGAUGGUUGGGAUGCCAGAUUCAUCACAAUUUGUUGAUGCUGCACAUGUUGGACACCAAGAUUAACUGGGACUGGUCCGCAGCUGUUUGGAGUUCUUUUGCCAUAGUUCCAUCCAGCACCUACAAAAUGAAGAGAAAACAUUGUUGCUGAGGUAUAUUUGACCAUCCACAAGAAAGGUUCAUUUUUUCUAUGCCUCUGUUUCUUUUUUCUUAGUUCACACUAUACAUUCUUGAUCUUCUGUAGUCACCGAACUAGAUGUUAACCAUGCUACUUUUUUCUCAUAUUUUUCUGUACACUAGGCAGGGUCAUGUAUAUGCUUGUAAUACAACCCCACUGUGGCAAAUCUUGAAAAAAGUUCAGUCUUUCUCCUUAGUGUCUUGUGCAGGGGAGAGGGCAGCACCCUACUGAUUUCUGUUUUAAUUACCAAGCCAUAUUCUGUCCUAAAACAUGAACCAAUCAAUCCAUAUACAACUUUUGUGGGGAGGAGUCCAACAUCAUUUUUUCAUGGACAUACAGUUAAAAAUAAAAUUAUUUUCUGCUGUCAGAAUUGCUACAACA